UGGGGAAUAUUGGACAAUGGGCGAAAGCCUGAUCCAGCCAUGCCGCGUGUGUGAAGAAGGUCUUCGGAUUGUAAAGCACUUUAAGUUGGGAGGAAGGGCAGUAAGCGAAUACCUUGCUGUUUUGACGUUACCGACAGAAUAAGCACCGGCUAACUCUGUGCCAGCAGCCGCGGUAAUACAGAGGGUGCAAGCGUUAAUCGGAAUUACUGGGCGGAAAGCGCGCGUAGGUGGUUCGUUAAGUUGAAUGUGAAAGCCCCGGGCUCAACCUGGGAACUGCAUCCAAAACUGGCGAGCUAGAGUAGGGCAGAGGGUGGUGGAAUUUCCUGUGUAGCGGUGAAAUGCGUAGAUAUAGGAAGGAACACCAGUGGCGAAGGCGACCACCUGGGCUCAUACUGACACUGAGGUGCGAAAGCGUGGGGAGCAAACAGG
rnacentral:rRNA from 1 species